rnacentral:rRNA from 1 species
GGAAUCGCUAGUAAUCGCGAAUCAGCAUGUCGCGGUGAAUACGUUCCCGGGCCUUGUACACACCGCCCGUCACACCAUGGGAGUGGGUUGCACCAGAAGUAGAUAGUCUAACCUUCGGGGGGACGUUUACCACGGUGUGGUUCAUGACUGGGGUGAAGUCGUAACAAGGUAGCCGUAGGGGAACCUGCGGCUGGAUCACCUCCUUACAUA